rnacentral:rRNA from 1 species
GACGAACGCUGGCGGCGUGCUUAACACAUGCAAGUCGAACGGAAAGGCCCUGCUUUUGUGGGGUGCUCGAGUGGCGAACGGGUGAGUAACACGUGAGUAACCUGCCCUUGACUUUGGGAUAACUUCAGGAAACUGGGGCUACUACCGGAUAGGAGCUCCUGCUGCAUGGUGGGGGUUGGAAAGUUUCGGCGGUUGGGGAUGGACUCGCGGCUUAUCAGCUUGUUGGUGGGGUAGUGGCUUACCAAGGCAUUGACGGGUAGCCGGCCUGAGAGGGUGACCGGCCACAAUAGGACUGAGAUACGGACCAGACUCCUACGGGAGGCAGUAGGGGGGAAUAUUGCACAAUGGGCGGAAGCCUGAGGCAGAAACGCCGCGUGCGGGAUGACGGCCUUCGGGGUGUAAACCGCUGUCGCCUGUGACGAAGCGGGAGUGACGGUAAUGGAUAAAGAAGCACCGGCUAACUACGUG